rnacentral:tRNA from 1 species
GCGGAUGUGGCGAAAUUGGUAGACGCGCUAUCUUCAGGCGGUAGUGUCUUCGGACGUGGAGGUUCGAGUCCUCUCAUCCGCAC